rnacentral:lncRNA from 1 species
CUAGGUUGUUGUGGUAGCUUGCGAUGGACUUGUAUUGUCACGUUGUUCUAAUAAAAACAGAAAUGAAUCUAGGUUGUUGUGGUAGCUUGUGAUGGACUUGUAUUGUCACGUUCUAAUAAAAACAGAAAUAAAUCUAGGUUGUUGUGGUAGCUUGCGAUGGACUUGUAUUGUCACGUUGUUCUAAUAAAAACAGAAAUAAAUCUAGGUUGUUGUGGUAGCUUGUGAUGGACUUGUAUUGUCACGUUGUUCUAAUAAAAACACAAAUAAAUCUAGGUUGUUGUGGUAGCUUGCGAUGGACUUGUAUUGUCACGUUGUUCUAAUAAAAAC